rnacentral:rRNA from 1 species
GAUGAACGCUGGCGGCGUGCCUAAUACAUGCAAGUCGAGCGAACAGAUGAGGAGCUUGCUCCUCUGACGUUAGCGGCGGACGGGUGAGUAACACGUGGAUAACCUACCUAUAAGACUGGGAUAACUUCGGGAAACCGGAGCUAAUACCGGAUAAUAUAUUGAACCGCAUGGUUCAAUAGUGAAAGACGGUUUUGCUGUCACUUAUAGAUGGAUCCGCGCCGCAUUAGCUAGUUGGUAAGGUAACGGCUUACCAAGGCGACGAUGCGUAGCCGACCUGAGAGGGUGAGCGGCCAAACGGGAACGGAGACACGGUCAAGACUCCUACGGGAGGCAGCAGGAGGGAAGCUUGCGCAAUGGGCGAAAGCAUGACGGAGCACUGCCGCGUGAGUGAUGAAGGUCUUCGGAUCGUAAAACUCUGUUAUUAGGGAAGAACAAAUGUGUAAGUAACUAUGCACGUCUUGACGGUACCUAAUCAGAAAGCCACGGCUAACUACGUG